AGCGAACGCUGGCGGCAGGCUUAACACAUGCAAGUCGAGCGCCCCGCCAGGGGAGCGGCCGACGGGAGAGUAACACGUGGGAACAUACCUUUUGGUUCGGAACAACUGAGGGAAACUUCAGCUAAUACCGGAUAAGCCCUUACGGGGAAAGAUUUAUCGCCGAAAGAUUGGCCCGCGUCUGAUUAGCUAGUUGGUGAGGUAACGGCUCACCAAGGCGACGAUCAGUAGCUGGUCUGAGAGGAUGAUCAGCCUCACUGGGACUGAGACACGGCCCAGACUCCUACGGGAGGCAGCAGUGGGGAUUAUUGGACAAUGGGGGCAACCCUGAUCCAGCCAUGCCGCGUGAGUGAUGAAGGCCUUAGGGUUGUAAAGCUCUUUUGCCCGGGAAGAUAAUGACGGUACCGGGAGAAAAAGCCCCGGCUAACUUCGUG
rnacentral:rRNA from 1 species